rnacentral:rRNA from 1 species
UGGGGAAUUUUGGACAAUGGGCGCAAGCCUGAUCCAGCCAUGCCGCGUGCGGGAAGAAGGCCUUCGGGUUGUAAACCGCUUUUGUCAGGGAAGAAACGCUCUGGGCUAAUACCCUGGGGUAAUGACGGUACCUGAAGAAUAAGCACCGGCUAACUACGUGCCAGCAGCCGCGGUAAUACGUAGGGUGCAAGCGUUAAUCGGAAUUACUGGGCGUAAAGCGUGCGCAGGCGGUUAUGCAAGACAGAUGUGAAAUCCCCGGGCUCAACCUGGGAACUGCAUUUGUGACUGUAUAGCUAGAGUACGGUAGAGGGGGAUGGAAUUCCGCGUGUAGCAGUGAAAUGCGUAGAUAUGCGGAGGAACACCGAUGGCGAAGGCAAUCCCCUGGACCUGUACUGACGCUCAUGCACGAAAGCGUGGGGAGCAAACAGGAUUAGAUACCCUCGUAGUCCCUGAGCGGGCUGGCAAGGCGCAU